rnacentral:tRNA from 1 species
GCCGGCGUAGCUCAGGGGUAGAGCGUUUCCUUGGUAAGGAAGAGGUCACGAGUUCAAAUCUCGUCGUUGGCUCAA